rnacentral:rRNA from 1 species
CCCGCAAGGGGAGUGGCAGACGGGUGAGUAACGCGUGGGAACAUACCCUUUCCUGCGGAAUAGCUCCGGGAAACUGGAAUUAAUACCGCAUACGCCCUACGGGGGAAAGAUUUAUCGGGGAAGGAUUGGCCCGCGUUGGAUUAGCUAGUUGGUGGGGUAAAGGCCUACCAAGGCGACGAUCCAUAGCUGGUCUGAGAGGAUGAUCAGCCACAUUGGGACUGAGACACGGCCCAAACUCCUACGGGAGGCAGCAGUGGGGAAUAUUGGACAAUGGGCGCAAGCCUGAUCCAGCCAUGCCGCGUGAGUGAUGAAGGCCUUAGGGUUGUAAAGCUCUUUCACCGGAGAAGAUAAUGACGGUAUCCGGAGAAGAAGCCCCGGCUAACUUCGUGCCAG